UGAGGAAUACGAUGCUUUUUCUUUGGGAGGCUGACGAAGACCGUGGCGUUUAUCAAGACUGCUGUCGGCCAUUUUUGAUGCGGAUUUUCCGGUGGACUAUCACAACGUUCGUUCAUUGCAGAUCAGAGCUCUCGGUCUAAUUGUCGGAGUUGAUGUGUAUCACUAUGUUCAAUUUUACAGACAUUCUUGACGUACAACACUGGCGGUGAAAGCAUCGCAUACCGAGUGUGACUGUGCCGAGUUUACGAGAGAAUAUCCACCAGGUCCUGACGUCUCGGAAUCGGCAUUUCCAUAUGAAUGAUGCCUAUAUUGCUGCAACUCAACUACCAUUCAUGGACGAUGGGAAUAUAUAGCUCUUGAUUUCCACCUGCAAAACCAUCUGUACCCGACCAACAACAGAAUAAGCAACUAUUCGCGAUCAAUGACCCAUGGAUAUCCCACGAAGCCCAAGCAGCGCCAGAGCAACGUGCCAGAGGACAGUUUUUCAUGGCUCCACCGAUGUCAUUCAAGGCUCGGCUGAUGAAGGACCUUCGACCAGUGGCAACGACAUGGAAAGCCAACAUAGCAACAGAAGUGCACAUUCCAACGAUUCCCAUGGAGAAGACGCAAUCACACCUUGGUGUGAAAACUAACUGGUUAGCCAUUUAAGUUGCCUUCCAUGUCAUGUUACACCUACUGAGCCUGUUAUUAGCACUGAUAAUAAAGGCAGCGUCUCGAAUCACGUAUGCAAAUGUUGUUGCACUAGGUACUUUUCGCUCUAUUGCCAUGAAUUAAAUUUAUCGAAAUCUUUAUAUUUAUUUUUAGAUACUUAUUUAUUGAUCGUUUCUUUCAAUUAUGAAUCGAUCAUAAAUUAUAUAGCCAGGAUAAAGCGAAGAAAUAUCAUGGGCACGAACAAGACUAAUGAAUUUGUUCAGAGCGUUGCAACUUAGCAAGCGCCCAUAAAGACUUGGCUCUCUCAGCAAUUUAAGAACGUGUUAUUUCUGUAAGUUUUGUUUUUAAACAUCAACGUUUCACUGAAUCCUAUUUUCUGGGGCUGAAUACUAAGAAUAAAAGG